AAGACGACGACGCGCGCGAGCGAAGCCGCCUCGCAACUCGCCUCGCGAAAUCGCGCGCAGCUUCCACGAAAGACAAUUCGGCGAACGGUGUGCGCGAAAGAGAAAGAGGCGAUAAGACGACAGAGGCCCGGACCUCGUCUGCUCAUCCGGAUACGAUGACACGUCGACGAUGAUGCCGCCUUGUCGCUCUCGCUGCGCGCCGAGCGACGAGAGCGAGAGAAAGAGAAAGAGAGAUCCGUACGCCGCAACGUUGGCGCGGCGUGUGGCGCCGAUUCGUAUCUCGCGCAGUAGUAAAUAAUGCCGUGUGUAAACGUGGUUACGUUGCCGCCGCCGCCGCCGCCGCCGCUGCUGCUGCCGGUCGGGGGAGUAGUCGGUCCUCCUCCGUGGAAUAGCACAUGCGCUCACAGAGAGUAAUAAAGAACUUUUUUAUGAAUGAAACAACUCGGUCGGUCGGUCGGUCGGUCGGGUGGCUGGCUGGCUGGCUGACUGCACUCCUCCUCCUCCUCUCUUCCUCACCACCGUUCCUGCGCCCCCCUCCCUUGUCGUUCUUUCCCCUUCUCCUCUUCCGCGCGCGUACACGCUGCCCUCCGUUGAAGCAAGGAGCGUGCACCGUGUGCCCCGCUGCUUUCGCUCUCUCCCUCCCUCCCUCUCUCUCUCUCUCUCUCUCUCUCUCUCUCUCUCUCUCUCUCUCUCUCUUCUUCUGUAUCCCUCCGUUAUCUUUCUCUGUCGUUGCCGGCGCUAGCGCGAGUAAAACGGAACAUGCGUUGCUUUGCCGGCGCUCCGCGUCGUCGUUUGCCGCUACACCAGCCAAUCCGCAGUGCGCGCGGGAAACGAUAUUAUUGCUGUACCACGAGGAAUAGCAUGCUCCGUCGGGGGUGGUAGAUGUAGGCUAGAGCGAGAUGGACUGAUCAGCGCGGAUGGAGACGGAGAUAGGGUACACACGUACCGCUAACCGAGAGGUCGCGAUACCGGCCGAAGAUCAGUUUUCGCUGUCGCGUUAUUCGUUACUGUUCUCUCUCGCCGUGCGCGGCACUUUCUUCACGUUCGUCGCGUCGCGUCGUCGUCGCGACGUUGUCGCAAAGUUCGCGACACGGACGAAUGUACAAGCGCGCACGCUGGGGGAUGACGACGGAUGAAGUUACAGUUCCGG